rnacentral:lncRNA from 1 species
ACACAGGUGGAAGCUACACCUCUGGCACAGAUUAGGUACCUAAACACACUUCCUGCCUCUGGCUAGUUGUUGGAGCCUGAGCUGCAUAAGCAAAUAAGUACGAGUAGUUUUUUUCUCCCCCUUCGAUCUGAAAACUUAAGGUAGUUUGAUCUGUCUUGCUGGCGCCAACGCUCUACUGGCCAGAGAGAAAGGACACAGAUGGAAAACAGGUGUGAAGUCACAUUCUAAAAUGACCCAGCCAGUGAGCACUUGAUUAGAACAUCGCCAUGGGGUUCCUGAGCCGGACAGAUUGAGAACAGCCCUGUCUGAAAAGGAUUCUGAAAUUAUAAUCCAGGUCAGAUUGGAGAGGCAGAAGAGUUUGCAGAUUGCUCAGCCACUGAUUUAAGUGGUGGCCAUGGCAACUAGCUGAACAAGGAACUGUGUCCUUUUAACAUCAAGACUCUGAUUGGUCCAUCCUGAGACAUGUGUGCAUCUCUAGACUAAUUACUGUCUCCAGGGGAAGAGUUUCCAGAGAUAAGGCCAUCCCGCCUUCCUUCUGGAGCAGAGAGGGAGACACCCCCCACAGAUGGAGACUUCCUUCACAAAUGCAAACGUCUCUCAUCAAAGGGCAAGUAAAUUCCACUCCUCUGAGCCUCCCUCUCAUCUGCAGUUUUUUAAAAUUAACCAGCCGAAAUCCUCAUCAGCCAUGGCAACUAGCUGAACAAGGAAUUGUGUCCUUUUAACAUCAAGACUCUGAUUGGUCCAUCCUGAGACAUGUGUGCAUCUCUAGACUAAUUACUGUCUCCAGGGGAAGGAAUUCCCAGUGUCUCAGAAAAUGAUAACCAGCAGGAGAGCGUAUAUAAGAAAAUAGCAUAAAGAUGCUGGCAGCAAACCAAGGUUGGUUACAGAUUAUUUGUGUUGACACUCCUGUCGCUCUAUGUGAAUGCUCCUCUCAUAUCAAGAAGCAAAGUCUGGAUCCAUGAAUCUUGACUGGCCUUGGAACUUGCCUUGACCAACAGAUAGCAUCACAAGCGAUGCUCUGGGAUAUCUGAGCUGAAGCCGUAAAAGAACUGGAAGCUCCCACUCACCUUCUCUUGGAGCCCAGUUGCCCUGCUGUAAAGAAGUCAGACUAGACUGUGGAAUGGUAUGAGAAACUCUGGAGGGGGGGGGGGGGGGG